rnacentral:rRNA from 1 species
UAGGGAAUCUUCGGCAAUGGGGGGCAACCCUGACCGAGCAACGCCGCGUGAGUGAAGAAGGUUUUCGGAUCGUAAAGCUCUGUUGUAAGAGAAGAACGUGUGUGAGAGUGGAAAGUUCACACAGUUGACGGUAACUUACCAGAAAGGGACGGCUAACUACGUGCCAG